UCAUAGUAAGAUUACACAACCAGCUGGAGGACAGCCCUUUGGGACAUUGGAGAGCACAUGCUCCUGGGCCAGGCCUGGGGCCGCUGGUCCCCCGAGCAAGUCUGCCUGUCUUCUGAGCAGAACUGUUCCUGGCUUGGGGGGCCUCUCCAGCCUGGCUGUGCUUCACCAAAGGAGAAGCUCUAUACCCUCCUGCUGCCCACUGUACAGAGACAACGCAAGGUGUUCAGAAGAUUCACAGGCAGCACGUGGAGUCUUAAUGGUCCAACAUUCUUUAACCACCUCUUGGUGUCACAGCUAAGAACGCUUGUCUCAAAACUCUGCCUGGAAAUCCAUCUCAGGAACUUGCUGCUGCUGAGAACGGCGCAGGUACAACUGACACUCAUGGUUGCUUAAGGAGGUGGUCCUUCAAGUUUCACUGGAUUGCCAGGUAUGGUGGUGUAUGCCUUUAAUCCCAGCACUCGGGAGGCUGAGGCAAGAGGAUCACUGUGAGUUCGAGACCAGCCUGGGCUACAUAGUGAGUUCCAGGUCAGUCUCUACAUAGUGAGACCCGGUCUCAAAAAACAACAACAAAAAAGUUUCCCUGGACUUCCAUCUCUGGGACCUGCUGCUCUGUAGCUCUUCUCAGGUGUAAACAAUUCCUGGCUUGCUCCAUGGCACCACUACUUGCAGCUUCAUCACUCCUUUAAAAAAAAAAAAUCCUCUGCUUUCUUUUCUCUACAUAGUGAGACCCGGUCUCAAAAAACAACAACAAAAAAGUUUCCCUGGACUUCCAUCUCUGGGACCUGCUGCUCUGUAGCUCUUCUCAGGUGUAAACAAUUCCUGGCUUGCUCCAUGGCACCACUACUUGGCGCUUCAUCACUCCUUUAAAAAAAAAAAAUCCUCAGUGGUUUCUCUACUUACCAGCCCAAGUUCAAAUUAUUUAGCACGCAAAACAAAAAACUAAAGAGAACAUGACAAGAUGUCAAACUCUGGCCUCCUUUCUCUCUCUCUCAAGAAUGCUCUUCAGUCUGGACAGGGAAAAAUAACCCUACUGAGUUCACAUUUGUUAAGAAGAUGCCCAAGAAGGAACUUCAGGCUUCAAAAAGAGUUGUACGAGCAGGUAAGUUUGCUCGGGGCCUGGUGUUCCUCUGUCGCACACUGUAGCAAAUGGGAGACAGCCCUAGAGAACGGAGUGGGCAGAGGUUCUGAUUUUCAAGAGGGAAAACUCUUUGGGUCCUGCAAACUGAAAACCUAUGAGUGUGAGGGUGAGCGCCAAUGUAAUUGCAGUGUGGGCUGUUGAGCCAACAGUCUGUGUUCCCAAGGAAGAGGAGUCCAGCUUGCUGCAGAGCUGCAGGCUCCUCUGGAAACAAACCCUGCCAGUCUCACCUCCUCCCUUCUUCUAAUGCGGCGACAGGGCCUGUAGAUCAGGGAGACAUCAGUGAUGUGGCACAUCUGGAUCUUAGCAAGACAGCUGCCAGUCUCCCGUGACUGGUAGUAGACAGAGCUGGAGGAGUGUGAAGUCGAGGCACCGUGAGUCAGAAGUUUGCAUGAACCUGAGGAUGGCUGCUUGACAGUAACUCGGGGGAUGGAUCCAGUGGUGAGCAACAAGCUCUGCCCUAAGCCCUGCUGUCUUGGACACUUCUAAUCAAUAGCUUGAAGAUGAUGCCGUGUGGGAGGGUGAUAAUUUACAACUGGAGGCUCAGACAAACUGAAAUAAUGGGAAGAAUCUAAGAGGAUGAAAUUUGAGUAGAAUAAGUGGAAAGUUCUGAACUUCGGUUUAACAAAUCAAUGUCAAAGGGUGAAAAGGACUUAAGGAUUUUAGCUGAAUAAAAGCUCAUUCGAUCUUCUGCCAAACAUUUGGCAAAUUUUGAAAUGCACCAUGUCCCUGCACACCUUCGUACCUCUCUGUGGGGUGCUCCUUGUCCUCCUCCAAUGCACUUGCUGGAUUCCAGUCCACUCUUUAGGAGCCAGCUCACCACCCCAACCUGGGUGGAAUCAUUUGCAAAGGCGUGGACCACUCCCUUGCCUGUGCUUCUGGGGACACUAGGCACACUUUGUUAAAAUGACAACCCCUCCCUUCACAGAGCAGGGUGAUCGUCCACCGAGGGCCUGCUAACCAACACCAGCAGGAUGGAUCUUGCUGCUAAUUCUGUGUUUGUACAGGAAAUGGGCAGAAUUGAUUCCUACUUCUGCUCAUGCAGGACAAGUCAGACAGUUUGAAUGUAGGUUUCCAUUUUGGGUCUCCUGUUUCAAAGGGCGUAUGAGUCAGGCCAGAGUGAACCCCCAGAAAAGCAGGUGAGGUGGCUAAGGAUCUUAAUGUGAGGAAGGUGGGAAUGUCCAGCCACGGAAAGGGAAGGCCCAGGUGAGGAUGCACGGGCUGUCUUCCGGUGAUUGAGAGAACGUCCUCACUGUCAGGGACUUCAGUAACAUGAUGAGCCCUUGCACCUGCACCUACACAUCCAUGAUUUUCCUGGCGUAGAAGCAAUCUGGGGGUGGUGCUGAAGGGCCUGGCUGGACUCAGACUGGGCAUCCGGAUCCUGAGGGGCACACUUUUUAGCUUAGUGGCCUUGGGCAAGUUGCCUCAUCUCUUAUCUAUUUCCUUAUCUGUGAAAUAGAGAUAAAAAUAUUACCACCCAUAGGAAGCAAAAUGUGACAGUGCAGGAAAUGUGUUUAGAACAAAGUCUGCCUUAUUCAGUAAAUGUUAGCUUAAAAAAGCCCAGGGUGUGCCAUCCCCAAAGCCUGAAGUAGUUUGCUAUCCAAAGCCAGGGACACCAGAUAGAGAACCCC
ensembl:lincRNA